rnacentral:rRNA from 1 species
CAUUCAAAUUUCUGCCCUAUCACCUUUCGACGGNACUGUAGUGGACUACCGUGGCAUUAACGGGUGACGGANAAUUANGGUUCGAUUCCGGAUAGGGAGCCUGAAAAACGGCUACCACAUCCAAGGAAGGCAGCAGGCGCGCAAAUUACCCAAUCCUGACACAGGGAGGUANUGACAAAAAAUAACAAUACCGGGCCUUUUUAGGUCUGGUAAUUGGAAUGAGUACAAUUUAAAUCCCUUAACGAGUAUCCAUUGAAGGGCAAGUCUGGUGCCANCANCCGCGGUAAUUCCAGCUCCNAUAGCGUAUAUUAAANUUGCUGCNUUAAAAAGCUCGUAGUUGGAUUUCUGGNUUGANACAUUUUGCCGGCCACNGNUUCNUGUGUUAGUGC